CAGAAACAAUAGCCAGCUUGGCUGCUUCCAUCAGAGUUGGACCCAAAUCCAACUCCUUAGCUGCCAUCUCUCUCUCUGAUUGUAGUAGGUCCUCUGCAGGCAGGGCUUGAACUACCCUCUUGGAUCAUAGUGGAUUGAUUCUAUGCUUCCAGGACAAGGGAGCAAUGUGCUGGUAGUAUACAUGUACACUGCACCUCCUGACAGCUGUUCAUCUGAUACCUCAGACAGGACAUCCAUCCAACUGACAAGAGUGAGGGUGAAGAGAACACUUGCUCGCAAGAGGAGUCCCAGUUGCUCGGAACCGAUGCUGUGCCAUCAAGCUGUUUGCUUUUCUGUGGCAGACAAGAGGAUGUGUUUAUGCUUCAGUCUGUGUCCUUGUGGUGUCCAUGGCCCUCACCUAUAUUGGAAGGAUGCAGAUGAAGCUAUGUUGUGGGAUACUGCCAAGCUUUGAAGGAAACUGGGGAUGUCCUCCCACAGUUUUGCUGAAACAGACAUUGUGAUUAGAGGCAACCAUGGAUGGUAGAAGCAGGAAAAAUGCUGAUGCUGAACCACUUUGAGCAUCUCCACUGAUGAACAAGCAGAUCUCAGCCCAUAUACAAGCAUUUCACCUCCAGCCAACACAGGUCACAGUGCCAAUGUUGUUUAAUCCAAAGGAUGUCGUGUUCUUUACCUUCAAUGUCUUGCAACCUUACAGUUCAUGCAGUGAUCAUGUCCAUACUCAUGACCUUCAUGUUCACUGUCAUCAUCAUGCAUUACUCCUAUUUCUUUUCCCAUUGACAUGGGAUGGACUCCAAAGCACAGUUAAAGAACAAGGAAGUUUCACUGAUGAUUGAACAACUUUAUUUACAACUAGCCAUCAGUCUGGCAUCAUUCAGUUUGAUGCCAAAUAUGUAUUCUAACAGAGAUUGGAUUGGCAAGGUAGAAACUUGCAGAAGAAUCUAAAAUGCUAAUUCAUGGACAUACAGAUGAUCUAUGCUACUGCCUACAUUGUCCCUUGUGUUUCCAAACAGAUAUGUUCCAUGAUUUCCCUUGUAUCUGAUAUGGAAGAUGACAAAAGAAGACAACAUAUCAAUAUGGUUUCAAACAAAAUUCAAGCAGAAGCUUACCAGUGAGAGAUUACACCAAAGCAGAUUAAAUGAGAAGAUACUUGGAUUGGACACACUCAUUGCUGACCCCUUGCUAAAAUGGAACAAACUUCAUGAAAUCUAUAUUCUGACUGACACAACCCUUGAGAUUUUUAAGCAUUCAUACUGAUUCAAGAAUGUGAAGGAGUUUGAUAGCAAGCCUUUUUCUACUAUGGAAUU